rnacentral:rRNA from 1 species
UACGGAAGGCAGCAGUAGGGAAUCUUCCGCAAUGGACGAAAGUCUGACGGAGCAACGCCGCGUGAACGAUGAAGGCUUUCGGGUCGUAAAGUUCUGUUGUUAGGGAAGAACAAGUACCAGAGUAACUGCUGGUACCUUGACGGUACCUAACCAGAAAGCCACGGCUAACUACGUGCCAGCAGCCGCGGUAAUACGUAGGUGGCAAGCGUUGUCCGGAAUUAUUGGGCGUAAAGCGCGCGCAGGUGGUCCUUUUAAGUCUGAUGUGAAAGCCCACGGCUCAACCGUGGAGGGUCAUUGGAAACUGGGGACUUGAGUGCAGAAGAGGAAAGUGGAAUUCCACGUGUAGCGGUGAAAUGCGUAGAGAUGUGGAGGAACACCAGUGGCGAAGGCGACUUUUCUGGUCUGUAACUGACACUGAGGCGCGAAAGCGUGGGGAGCGGAACAGGGAUUAGGAUACC